GGAUUAGAUACCCUGGUAGUCCACGCCGUAAACGAUGUCUACUAGUCGUCGGGGCUCUUGCAGCCUUGGUGACGCAGCUAACGCGAUAAGUAGACCGCCUGGGGAGUACGGCCGCAAGGUUAAAACUCAAAUGAAUUGACGGGGGCCCGCACAAGCGGUGGAGCAUGUGGUUUAAUUCGAAGCAACGCGAAGAACCUUACCUGGCCUUGACAUCCUGCGAACUUCCUGGAGAUAGGAAGGUGCCUUCGGGAGCGCAGUGACAGGUGCUGCAUGGCUGUCGUCAGCUCGUGCCG
rnacentral:rRNA from 1 species